UGGUGGACUAGCGAUAGAAUGAAUAUUUAAAUUUGCGGUAGGAAUUAUAGUUUUUGGUAGAUAAAUUUAAAAAGAGAGAUAGGCGAGGCAAAUAUUUAAACAAUUUUCCGUUUCUAAAUAUCCAGUUUGGUUUUGUUAACAAACGAUAUUAUACGGGGGAACGAUAAAUCGGUGACAAUGAUUAAUGAAUAUUUUGAUACGAGAAAUUCUGGUGCGACGGAAAAUUAAAAUUCAUGAUGACGAUACGGUUUACUCGUACGCGUAUUUUUAUACCAAAUGAAAUACAUGUUUCAUCAUAAAUAUUUAUAAGAUAUAUAUAUAUAUAUUUUUUCAAUCUCUGCAUCUAUUGUUUUAAUCGAUUAAAAAAAAGAAAUUAAAUCUUUUAUACGACCUCGUUUUUUCGAUAUUUACAAAUUAUAAAAAAUGGUGAAGGGAAGACUACCAAUUUGUAUCGACGAUCGCCUAACAUUCAUAAAGCAACGAACGAAUAUUACAAGUGUUGUAAAAACAUACGCAGAGAAAUAUGUGUGAUUGAUUGAUAUAUGCGAUUUAAAAAAUCGUGUGAAACACCAAAAACGUUAUUAUCCCCGAUUUAGAUAACGAUUUAAAUGUCAUCGAUCCCCCAAUUAUCUUGUACUUGCGAAUUGAAUCGAAAAUCCAUAAAUUACACACUAGUAUAAGCGUAAUAAUUAUUAAAAAAAAAUAACCAAACACGGAUCGCGCAUUUAGAUAUAAUUUUAAUCUUGUACAGCGUUUACGGAUGAAAUUAAUCGUAUCGAUGGAAAUCAAAGAACCAAAUGUAAGACUCGAGGUAGCGGAAAAUCGGAAGGAAAGAAAGUGAGAUCGACAACGAGCGUGAAAAUGCAGCGAAAAAUGGUGACACCAUUAAUUCUCGAGGGACGAAGAGAAUUGCGUGGAUUCAAAUAAGCAUCGAAUAAAAUGAGAUAACUGGAAAUAGCAAGGAACUGGGCGAAAAGGAGGGAAAAUUUUCUUUGGAAAAACCCAUUGACUUUCCAAUGAAUGAAAAAUCACAUAACGACAGCUUUAAUUAUCCCCAACGGUCCCUCUCGAUUCCAGUUAAAUCCAGUGUUAUAUAAUCGCUUUGGAAUUAAUUUGAUCUCGAGGAAAAAAGAUUAACAGACGUAUUUCAUUUAUAUAUAUAUAUAUAUAUAUUUACAAUUUAAUUUUUUAACAGCGAGAUAAGAAAAAAAAUAAGAACACGACAUUUUUGAUAUUUUUUAUUGAUAUCAAGAAUUUUUUCCAACUCGGUAAAAAUAAACACUUCCAAAAGUUGUUUUGUUAAAGGAAAAAAAAUGAUAUAUAAAAUUCAUGAAUAAAUUAAGUAAUGCAAUAAAAUCCUUUAUUACGUAUUUCCAAGAAACGAGAGAAUAGGUCACUCGCAACAUCGUGACCUGAAUUUUGAAUAAACAAGAGGAUUUUAGCGGAGGAGAUUGGACGAAUCUAUGCUUUAUUAUUACAAAAAUCGAAAGUUGGAUACAGAUAUGAACAAGCCACUUAUAUUCAUGCAAGAGAUUAUAUACUUCAUCGGCUUCGUGAAAUAGGAUUCGCGAAAAAUUUCCUCGAAAAAAGGUGGACGUAAUUGUUAUACACCGUCGAUAUUCAAAUGACAAACAGGAAAUAACGUACAUCAAGAGAGAUAUCGAUCGGGGAAAGAAGAGAAGCCAAUAAGAAAACAAACCAUCCCCUUUCGUGCCUAUCCUCUGAUGUCGAUCCUCUGAUCGAGAGGAAAUUUUUCCUCGUCGAAUUAACGUCUCCUUUGUUUCUCGUAGAAUUAUCAGCAGCGUAAUUUAAUUACGAAUAACCUACGAAUUUCACACUAUUUCCUCGAAUCUUCGUCCGUUCUAUUAAAUUAUGAAAUCUAAGCCGAUUUCUCGUCGAAAACGAAAU